GAUGAAGAACGUAGCGAAAUGCGAUAAGUAAUGUGAAUUGCAGAAUUCAGUGAAUCAUCGAAUCUUUGAACGCACAUUGCGCCCGCCAGUAUUCUGGCGGGCAUUCCUGUUCGAGCGUCAUUUCAACCAUCAAGCCCCCGGCUUGUGUUGGGGACCUGCGGCUGCCGCAGGCCCUGAAAACCAGUGGCGGGCUCGCUAGUCACUCCGAGCGUAGUAAUACAUCUCGCUCAGGGCGUGCUGCGGGUUCCGGCCGUUAAAAGCCUUAUUUUACCCAAGGUUGACCUCGGAUCAGGUAGGAAGACCCGCUGAACUUAAGCAUAUCAAUAAGCGGAGGA
rnacentral:misc_RNA from 1 species